rnacentral:rRNA from 1 species
GAUGAACGCUGGCGGCGUGCCUAAUACAUGCAGGUCGAGCGAACGGACGAGAAGCUUGCUUCUCUGAUGUUAGCGGCGGACGGGUGAGUAACACGUGGAGAACCUACCUAUAAGACUGGGAUAACUUCGGGAAACCGGAGCUGAUACCGGAUAAUAUUUUGAACCGCAUGGUUCAAAAGUGAAAGACGGUCUUGCUGUCACUUAUAGAUGGAUCCGCGUUGCAUUAGCUAGUUGGUAAGGUAACGGCUUACCAAGGCAACGAUGCAUAGCCGACCUGAGAGGGUGAUCGGCCACACUGGAACUGAGACAAGGUCCCGACUCCUACGGGAGGCAGCAGUAGGGAAUCUUCCGCAAUGGGCGAAAGCCUGACGGAGCAACGCCGCGUGAGUGAUGAAGGUCUUCGGAUCGUAAAACUCUGUUAUUAGGGAAGAACAUAUGUGUAAGUAACUGUGCACAUCUUGACGGUACCUAAUCAGAAAGACACGGCUAACUCCGUG